GACAGAGGGUGCAAACGUUGUUCGGAAUUACUGGGCGUAAAGCGCGUGUAGGCGGCCCUGCAAGUCGGAUGUGAAAUCCCACGGCUCAACCGUGGAAGUGCAUUCGAAACUGCAGGGCUAGAGUCCUGGAGAGGAAGGUGGAAUGCUUGGUGUAGAGGUGAAAUUCGUAGAUAUCAAGCGGAACACCGGUGGCGAAGGCGGCUACCUGGACAGAAACUGACGCUGAGGCGCGAAAGCUAGGGGAGCGAACAGG
rnacentral:rRNA from 1 species